GCAUGUGGUUUAAUUCGACGCAACGCGAAGACUUACCAGGGCUUGACAUCCCCUGACCGCGUAUGAAAGUACGUUUUCACCCUCGGGUGACAGGGAGACAGGUGGUGCAUGGUUGUCGUCAGCUCGUGUCGUGAGAUGUUGGGUUAAGUCCCGCAACGAGCGCAACCCCUACGUUUAGUUGCUAACGCGUGAAGGCGAGCACUCUAGACGAACUGCCGUUGACAAACGGAGGAAGUGGGGAUGACGUCAAAUCAUCAUGCCCCUUAUGUUCUGGGCUACACACGUGCUACAAUGGCCGGUACAGACGGACGCAAAGCCGCGAGGUGGAGCAAAUCCUAAAAAGCCGGUCUCAGUUCGGAUUGCAGGCUGCAAUUCGCCUGCAUGAAGUCGGAAUCGCUAGUAAUCGCAGGUCAGCAUACUGCGGUGAAUACGUUCCCGGGCCUU
rnacentral:rRNA from 1 species